GGAGCUUCUGUCAUAAUGACUGAUGUGGCAGAGAAUGAUGGGAAAGCCUCAGGCAGGACUCCGGGAAACCAAGGCUGAUAUCAGCCCUGCUAUUCACAAUGUGAUCUCAGAAAAAUCCCUUUGAAUCUUUAAGCCUCAACUUUUUCCUGUGUUAAAUGAGGAUAUUAGAAAAGAUAGUCUCUAAGGGACAUGCACUGGAUGCUGGGGACAUCGUAGUGAACAACAUCAACCUUGUUUGAUGAAACUUGGAAACCUAAGCAGGUCUAGGCAUUACAAGCUUUGAGUUUAAUAAGGGAGAUGAAGAAAAUAAAAAGACAAACAAAUUAGAGCUUCAAACUGUGCCCAUUUCCUGGACACACCACCCUGGUCGUGGGGCUGCAGGGCUUAGGAAGGGUAAGGACUUGACACAGACCUCUACGUGGAUUUGUUACCAAAAUCCAAGUUCAGCAGCUUGCCACUGGAAAGCCAGUACUCAAGAGGUCUGUUUGCUGCCUCUGGGAAGCGAAGAAUGAGGGAAGGAAAGUGUGUCUGCUCAUGAGCCCCUUCUCCCCAAAGCUGAUGAUGAUUUUCCUUGUAGUUUCACCUUGGGGUGGGUCAUGCAGGACAUCCAGGAGUUCCCUUCAGGGAGAGAGAAAAGUCUCUCAUGUCACCUUUGGGAGCUGACAUCCACAACUGUUUAUGCACAAAUUCAACAAACAUGAUUUAAACCUACUUUAUCAAGCUCUGUGCUAUUUCUGUGUAAACAUCUUUUAAAUAAGCCUCUGCUUAACAGACUCUAUCUUUUUAACCAGUCCUGUUCAUUCUACCUCGAACAUGUCCAGUAAACGCUGAGCCCUCGGUGCCAUUCACUAAUUCUCUAGUACACCUGGACACAGGAGCACUGAUUUACCUGCUUCGUGAGAACCAACUGGGUCUGUUUCCAAUCCUUCUUAUGCCAGUUGGACUUGUUCAUGUAAUUACCUA
rnacentral:lncRNA from 1 species